rnacentral:rRNA from 1 species
UACGUAGGCAGCAAGCGUUGUUCGGAGUUACUGGGCGUAAAGGGUGUGUAGGCGGUUUUUUAAGUUUGGUUUGAAAUCUCCCGGCUCAACUGGGAGGGUGCGCCGAAUACUGAAAGACUAGAGUGCGGGAGAGGAAAGUGGAAUUCCUGGUGUAGCGGUGAAAUGCGUAGAUAUCUGCAGGAACACCCGUGGCGAAGGCGGCUCGCUGGACCGCAACUGACGCUGAGGAACGAAAGCUAGGGGAGCAAACAGG